AAUAUGUCCCAUUUUCUCCACCCUUCAUAGUUUUCAGAAGCGAGUAUAGGAAGCUAAAAGUAUUUUGACGUGACUCUUUUUCUGUAUCAGCUUUUGUGUGUGUUAUAGAAGAAUCCUUGCUCCUGUUUGGAAACAGUUUAUUUGGGGCCCCACCCUGAAUAUUUAAUAUAAAAUUACACUGACAAACACAACCAAGCACAAUGACCUCUUGUACACUUUUCUAUACUGUGAUUCCAAGGUUGUGACUCUCUCCACAUUUGUAUGAAUGUAGCACAAGUGUUUGAUAUUUCAGUACUAUUGUACAAAAUAGAGUCCAUUAGUUUGUUACAGAAAAAUGGAUUUAAUUAGUGCACAUCUUUGUCUACCAGUCUGUUCCCUGAUGUUCCUAACUGCAGUAUGUAACAAACAUCCUUUCAUUUUUUAAAAUAAUUUAUAUGCUCUGCUCUUGCUUUGAUUUAAAUCAAUCAAUCAAUCUUUAUUAGUCAUUGCACACUUUCAUAUACAACGCAAUUUCAUUUGAGCUGCCCUGCCAAUGACAGCUCCAGCUGCUGCGCAGUGCUGCGCGCACCUUUCUUGAGGAAAAAAGAAAAAGACAUGUUGGGAUCUGGGUAGGGACCACUGUUCCCUCUAAACUGCGCGUGUGCGCAAUUGCGCACUGCUGACACGGUCUCCGCGCACAGAAAAUCUGCGCUGUGCACACAUAAAAAAAUCCAACCUAAAUCGUAAAUAAAAUAAACAUGUAACAAUUCAUUCUGUGCUACUUUUCAAUGUGAGUCAGUGAGUGACUGGCUGCUGCAGCCAAUGAUGCGAUUCACAUACGUAUUUACCAUAGACUGUAUAUAAUAGUAUUUACGCAGCUAAUCAACGUCAGGCGUCCUUAUGUGCAGCCACCGUUGUUCUCAUAGAUAUGAAUGAGUAGAUAGGACACGCCCCUUUGAGCUGCGUGCUACGGCGAGGCUAAGCUAGUGGGGGCAAAGUUUCAUUGCAUUCCAUUGAUGUAGACGGCAUGAAAACGGAAACAACAAGAAUGCCGUCUCACUGUGCUGCAUACAGUUACACACUACGUCGUACGAUUGAGACAAGGAAACUUGGAAGGACUUUUCAUAGGUUUCCCAGAGACUAUGGGUUGAGGAGGAAGUGGAAGUUUGUCGGCUUAGACCUGGUGUCAUUCCAUCAGUGUUAAACUUCCCGGCUCAUCUUGGAAGAGUACGUGCCAGAAAGACCACGACCAAGCAGCCUUGAGAUCUUAGGCAGCGUCUCCCUGAGGUCCCUCUCUAUCUCCCCACACAUCCACCAACCACUGGAACACAUCUCCAAAGUUCUGCUGGGCCAGCUCAGCUUCGCCUCAGAAGAAGUGCCGCCACCUGCCAGAUGAAGGAGCCUUUUGAGAGGCAGCUGGCAUCGUGAUUGGACUGUACUUUGGUCUGUUCCAAUCCAGCUUCAGCUCCAGAGACGGCAGGCGGGACGAGUCAACGGAGGCCGGGUGGACGAAGGCAUGCAGCUGAGUACAAUCCAGAAAACAACAGAGGAGGAGUGCAAUGGCCCAGGACCAGAACAAGCAGAGUAGCAUCGUAUGUCUCUUAGAAAACAUCAUAGUAGAGCCUUUGGUAUGAAAAAACGCCAUCAUAUACAUCGUAUAUUGUACAAAUAACAAGUCAAAGGAAAGAGACAUAUAUUGUAGAAUUGUAGUAAUUGUGGGCUGACUGAUUUACUGAUUAUCAGUAUUUUAUUUUUUACUGAUUUACGGUAAUAAAUCAAUUUAAAAAUGGCGCUACUUUGGCUCUGAACCUUAAUCUACCUGUGGUCGCUCUGUCUUCUGGAGUGAUUUGAUUGGUUAUACGUCACGAAUAAAACUCCUUUAACUUAACAUCUGUAAACAAAACAAAAAUGUAUCAACAAAGUUUUCUGUUAGAGUUUGUGUUCUUCUAAGUUGAACUCCAAGAUUUUAAAUACUUUCAUUUACUGCAAAUGAAUAUCUACUCCAAAUGUCUCACUAAUAAUCAUUAUCAGCCUUAAAAACCCACAAAACACCCCUCUAUACUCGACCACACUUAGUACAGUCCGGUUCCCCCUUCUAUAAAUCUGCUUGGAAUCGUCCACUUCCUGUUUGUCAAAGUGGCCUUCUACCUGGACAGGUUUUGUUGGAGCUCAUGCAACAAACAUUUUGGGUAACUGCACUUUAAUAUGGAUGGAUGACCCUGGAUUAGAGUCUGUUUUCAUGAGACUGAGUUAAGAUGUGUAGCUGUCAUUAAAUAGUAAAUUAUUUCUCAGAAUUCACAGAGAAAAGUCUGAAAUGUUUGCUAGGUUAGCGUCCCACAUGUUCUUUGGCUCAGCUAAAGCUAACUCUCUCCAACUUCUGGAUCUCUUGAGUUGCUUGUUGUUAAAAUAUCUUGCUAGAGGUGCUGAAGCUCAGAAAGUCUGAGAUGUUUGUUCAAAAUAAGCUCAUACUCAAGUCUUAUCUGAACUGUCCUCUUUUGUUUGAACUUUCCCUAAACUUAGGAGUUAAUGACAGAGCAGCACAUCCAGACUCAGUCUCAUUUAUGUAGAGAUUAAACUUCAGUGUCAUUCAUUGAUGUUAAAGUGCAGUUUUUCAAAUGUUUGUUGCACAUGCUCCCGACCAAACCAGUCCAGGUGGAAGACGAUGUGAAGAGAAAGCUCCAGAGGAUGAAUAUCACACAUUUACAUUGGAAAUAAAUGUCCUUUAAUUAGACAUUGUCAUGCAAAAGUUGGAUUUCCCUUUAAUGAUGUUCAAAUCUUUGUUGAGUGUUUUGUUGAUGUUGGUUUCUAAAUGUUUUUUGACACUCGGCCUCAAAGAUUAAAACGUUCUACGGCUCACAAGCUGCAACAAUUCACACAUUAACUAUCUUUCUGACUAAACUAAGAUAAAAAGUGAAAAACUGCCUGAUUCCUGCAUCAUGAAUGUAAAUCUUUUUGGUUUUUAUGACCGUAAACUGAAUGUAUUUGGGCUUGACAUUUUAUAAACCAAAACAAGAAAUGAAUUACUGGAGAAAAUGACAUAUUAAUGGACAAAGAAAAUGUGUUUUCCAACAUAUAUCGCUGAAUUACUCCAACAUUACAAGAUACAUACAAUUUUAAUUCAAUUUUAUUUAUAUAACGCCAAUUACAGGUCAAAUUGUCUCAAGAUACUUUAUUUUUAUAUUUUUUGUCAUAUUUAAAAUAUGACAAAGUAAGAAAUUUAAACCUCUUGACUAAUCCAAUUUAUUAUUUAGUUUUUAAGAGACCAAUUGACAAUUAAAACUUUCUCCACUAAAACUAACAAACAUGAGGUCAAAUAGAAGGAACAGUUUUAAAUACUGCAGUCCCACGACGACAAGAAUAAAGUUUCUCAACAAAAACUAAAUCUGCUGGUGGAUUCCAUUAAAGUCCUAAUAAAGGAUAAUAAAGUGUGAUACUAAAGGUUUGUGGUGCUAAAAAUCUCCAAGUAAAGAUAUCAAGUUGAACAUCUGGAUGGAGGUUGAUAAAAGUUGACCUCCCUUCAUUUCUCUGGAGCCGACUCCAUGGAUUUUAUGGAUGGUGGUGAAAGACCUGCUCUUCUAGGCGUCUUCCUUCUCGUCGCUGUAGAAAGUCAGUCCAUCCUGACCGACUUCAACACCUCUUCAUGACAACUUGUUCUACCUCGGCCCUCGUGGAAACUCCAGAAACUCGGGAAAACCUGUCGAGACUCGAGGAACUCAUCGAGACUCGAAGAACUCGUCGGGCGGGGGAAGGU